rnacentral:rRNA from 1 species
CAAUGGGCGCAGCCUGAUGCAGCGACGCCGCGUGAGGGAUGGAGGCCUUCGGGUUGUAAACCUCUUUUAUCGGGGAGCAAGCGAGAGUGAGUUUACCCGUUGAAUAAGCUCCGGCUAACUACGUGCCAGCAGCCGCGGUAAUACGUAGGGAGCGAGCGUUGUCCGGAUUUACUGGGUGUAAAGGGUGCGUAGGCGGAUUGGCAAGUCAGAAGUGAAAUCCAUGGGCUUAACCCAUGAACUGCUUUUGAAACUGUUAGUCUUGAGUGAAGUAGAGGUAGGCGGAAUUCCCGGUGUAGCGGUGAAAUGCGUAGAGAUCGGGAGGAACACCAGUGGCGAAGGCGGCCUACUGGGCUUUAACUGACGCUGAGGCACGAAAGUGUGGGUAGCAAACAGGAUUAGAUACCCUGGUAGUCCAAGGGCGAAUUC